rnacentral:rRNA from 1 species
AACGCUGGCGGCGUGCCUUACACAUGCAAGUCGAACGUGAAAGUACCUUCGGGUAUGAGUAAAGUGGCGCACGGGUGAGUAACGCGUGGAUAAUCUACCGGGAAGUUCGGAAUAACAGCUGGAAACGGUUGCUAAUACCGGAUACACUACAUAUAAACGUAUGUGGGAAAGACGGCCUCUGCAUAUGCUGUUGCUUUCCGAUGAGUCCGCGUACCAUUAGCUAGUUGGUGGGGUAAAGGCCUACCAAGGCGACGAUGGUUAACUGGUCUGAGAGGAUGAUCAGUCACACUGGAACUGGAACACGGUCCAGACUCCUACGGGAGGCAGCAGUGGGGAAUAUUGCGCAAUGGGCGAAAGCCUGACGCAGCGACGCCGCGUGAGGGAUGAAGGUCUUCGGAUCGUAAACCUCUGUCAGCAGGGAAGAACGGUCACUGUGCUAAUCAGCAGUGAAUUGACGGUACCUGCAAAGGAAGCACCGGCUAACUCCGUGCCAGCAGCCGCGGUAAUACGGAGGGUGCGAGCGUUAAUCGGAAUUACUGGGCGUAAAGCGCUCGUAGGCGGUAUGUCAAGUCAAGGGUGAAAUCCCCGCGCUCAACGUGGGAACUGCCUUUGAAACUGGCAAACUGGAGUGUGUGAGAGGAUAGUGGAAUUCCAGGUGUAGGAGUGAAAUCCGUAGAUAUCUGGAGGAAC